rnacentral:rRNA from 1 species
UACAGAGACUGCAAGCGUUAUUCGGAUUCACUGGGCGUAAAGGGUGCGCAGGCAGCCAAGUGUGUGAGGCGUGAAAGCUUGGAGCUUAACUCCAGAAUUGCACCUCAAACUACAUGGCUAGAGCAUUGGAGAGGGUAGCAGAAUUCACGGUGUAGCAGUGAAAUGCGUAGAUAUCGUGAGGAAUACCAGAGGCGAAGGCGGCUACCUGGACAAUUGCUGACGCUCAGGCACGAAAGCGUGGGGAGCAAAAGGG